rnacentral:tRNA from 1 species
UCCCUGGUGGUCCAGUGGUUAAGACUUGGUGCUCCAAGUGCAGGGGACCUGGGUUCAAUUCCUGGUCAGGGAA